rnacentral:rRNA from 1 species
GACGAACGCUGGCGGCGUGCUUAACACAUGCAAGUCGAACGGUAAGGCCCUUCGGGGUACACGAGUGGCGAACGGGUGAGUAACACGUGGGUGAUCUGCCCUGCACUUUGGGAUAAGCCUGGGAAACUGGGUCUAAUACCGGAUAGGACUACGGCCUGCAUGGGUUGUGGUGGAAAGCUUUUGCGGUGUGGGAUGGGCCCGCGGCCUAUCAGCUUGUUGGUGGGGUGAUGGCCUACCAAGGCGACGACGGGUAGCCGGCCUGAGAGGGUGUCCGGCCACACUGGGACUGAGAUACGGCCCAGACUCCUACGGGAGGCAGCAGUGGGGAAUAUUGCACAAUGGGCGCAAGCCUGAUGCAGCGACGCCGCGUGAGGGAUGACGGCCUUCGGGUUGUAAACCUCUUUCAAUAGGGACGAAGCGCAAGUGACGGUACCUAUAGAAGAAGCACCGGCCAACUACGUGCCAGCCGCCGCCGUAA